CGGCCGCGGCCGGGCUGGGGCUUCAGCGGGAGGCAGCAGAGGGGAAGUGGCCAGCGUGGCGAAUGACGGAAGAAACUCGCAUUGUCUACUGGAUCAAGGACAGACAGCUCACCAACCAUGACAGCACCAUACUGGAACUUCAAAAAGUUCUGAAAACAUGUUGGUUCGUUUGUUGGAGUAUUUUUCAACUUAAAUUCCUUUUCCUUUUUUUUUUUUGCUCACUUUUUCCUCUGCAGAAAAACCUUAAAAUGUUCUACCUUUUCCUUGAAACCUCCUCCCAAUCCUUAGUUCACAUUGACUUGUCUUUAAAUGUUUUUGAGAAAAUAAUCAGAAAUGCACAAUUA
rnacentral:sRNA from 1 species